GACGAACGCUGGCGGCGUGCUUAACACAUGCAAGUCGAACGGAAAGGCCCUGCUUUUGUGGGGUGCUCGAGUGGCGAACGGGUGAGUAACACGUGAGUAACCUGCCCUUGACUUUGGGAUAACUUCAGGAAACUGGGGCUAAUACCGGAUAGGAGCUCCUGCUGCAUGGUGGGGGUUGGAAAGUUUCGGCGGUUGGGGAUGGACUCGCGGGUUAUCAGCUUGUUGGUGGGGUAGUGGCUUACCAAGGCUUUGACGGGUAGCCGGCCUGAGAGGGUGACCGGCCACAUUGGGACUGAGGUACGGCCCAGACUCCUACGGGAGGCAGCAGUGGGGAAUAUUGCACAAUGGGCCGAAGCCUGAUGCAGCAACGCCGCGUGCGGGAUGACGGCCUUCGGGUUGUAAACCGCUUUCGCCUGUGACGAAGCGUGAGUGACGGUAAUGGGUCAAGAAGCACCGGCUAACUACGUG
rnacentral:rRNA from 1 species